CAAUGGGCGAAAGCCUGAUGGAGCAACGCCGCGUGUGUGAUGAAGGGUUUCGGCUCGUAAAACACUGUUGUAAGAGAAGAAUGACAUUGAGAGUAACUGUUCAAUGUGUGACGGUAUCUUACCAGAAAGGAACGGCUAAAUACGUGCCAGCAGCCGCGGUAAUACGUAUGUUCCAAGCGUUAUCCGGAUUUAUUGGGCGUAAAGCGAGCGCAGACGGUUAUUUAAGUCUGAAGUGAAAGCCCUCAGCUCAACUGAGGAAUUGCUUUGGAAACUGGAUGACUUGAGUGCAGUAGAGGAAAGUGGAACUCCAUGUGUAGCGGUGAAAUGCGUAGAUAUAUGGAAGAACACCAGUGGCGAAGGCGGCUUUCUGGACUGUAACUGACGUUGAGGCUCGAAAGUGUG
rnacentral:rRNA from 1 species